rnacentral:rRNA from 1 species
AUUGAACGCUGGCGGCAUGCCUUACACAUGCAAGUCGAACGGCAGCACGGGGCAACCUGGUGGCGAGUGGCGAACGGGUGAGUAAUGUAUCGGAACGUGCCAUUGAGUAGGGGAUAACGUAGCGAAAGUUACGCUAAUACCGCAUAUACCCUGAGGGGGAAAGCAGGGGAUCGCAAGACCUUGUGCUCUUUGAGCGGCCGAUAUCAGAUUAGCUAGUUGGUGAGGUAAAGGCUCACCAAGGCGACGAUCUGUAGCGGGUCUGAGAGGAUGAUCCGCCACACUGGGACUGAGACAGGGCCCGGACUCCUACGGGAGGCAGCAGUGGGGAAUUUUGGACAAUGGGCGCAAGCCUGAUCCAGCCAUGCCGCGUGAGUGAAGAAGGCCUUCGGGUUGUAAAGCUCUUUCGGCCGGGAAGAAAUCGUACAGGUUAAUACCCUGUGUGGAUGACGGUACCGGAAUAAGAAGCACCGGCUAACUACGUGCCAGCAGCCGCCGUAAUAC